rnacentral:rRNA from 1 species
CCGGCGCUUGCACCGGGGAUUAGUGGCGAACGGGUGAGUAACACGUGAGUAACCUGCCCUUAACUCUGGGAUAAGCCUGGGAAACUGGGUCUAAUACCGGAUAUGACUCCUCAUCGCAUGGUGGGGGGUGGAAAGCUUUUGUGGUUUUGGAUGGACUCGCGGCCUAUCAGCUUGUUGGUGAGGUAAUGGCUCACCAAGGCGACGACGGGUAGCCGGCCUGAGAGGGUGACCGGCCACACUGGGACUGAGACACGGCCCAGACUCCUACGGGAGGCAGCAGUGGGGAAUAUUGCACAAUGGGCGGAAGCCUGAUGCAGCGACGCCGCGUGAGGGAUGACGGCCUUCGGGUUGUAAACCUCUUUCAGUAGGGAAGAAGCGAAAGUGACGGUACCUGCAGAAGAAGCGCCGGCUAACUACGUGCCAGCAGCCGCGGUAAUACGUAGGGCGCAAGCGUUAUCCGGAAUUAUUGGGCGUAAAGAGCUCGUAGGCGGUUUGUCGCGUCUGCCGUGAAAGUCCGGGGCUCAACUCCGGAUCUGCGGUGGGUACGGGCAGACUAGAGUGAUGUAGGGGAGACUGGAAUUCCUGGUGUAGCGGUGAAAUGCGCAGAUAUCAGGAGGAACACCGAUGGCGAAGGCAGGUCUCUGGGCAUUAACUGACGCUGAGGAGCGAAAGCAUGGGGAGCGAACAGGAUUAGAUACCCUGGUAGUCCAUGCCGUAAACGUUGGGCACUAGGUGUGGGGGACAUUCCACGUUUUCCGCGCCGUAGCUAACGCAUUAAGUGCCCCGCCUGGGGAGUACGGCCGCAAGGCUAAAACUCAAAGGAAUUGACGGGGGCCCGCACAAGCGGCGGAGCAUGCGGAUUAAUUCGAUGCAACGCGAAGAACCUUACCAAGGCUUGACAUGAACCGGUAAGACCUGGAAACAGGUCCCCCACUUGUGGCCGGUUUACAGGUGGUGCAUGGUUGUCGUCAGCUCGUGUCGUGAGAUGUUGGGUUAAGUCCCGCAACGAGCGCAACCCUCGUUCCAUGUUGCCAGCGCGUUAUGGCGGGGACUCAUGGGAGACUGCCGGGGUCAACUCGGAGGAAGGUGGGGACGACGUCAAAUCAUCAUGCCCCUUAUGUCUUGGGCUUCACGCAUGCUACAAUGGCCGGUACAAAGGGUUGCGAUACUGUGAGGUGGAGCUAAUCCCAAAAAGCCGGUCUCAGUUCGGAUUGGGGUCUGCAACUCGACCCCAUGAAGUCGGAGUCGCUAGUAAUCGCAGAUCAGCAACG